CCUACGGGAGGCAGCAGUGAGGAAUAUUGGUCAAUGGACGAGAGUCUGAACCAGCCAAGUAGCGUGAAGGAUGACUGCCCUAUGGGUUGUAAACUUCUUUUAUAUGGGAAUAAAAUGUUCCACGUGUGGGCCUUUGUAUGUACCCUAUGAAUAAGGAUCGGCUAACUCCGUGCCAGCAGCCGCGGUAAUACGGAGGAUCCGAGCGUUAUCCGGAUUUCUUGGGUUUAAAGGGAGCGUAGGUGGAUUGUUAAGUCAGGUGUGAAAGUUUGCGGCUCAACCGUAAAAUUGCAGUUGAAACUGGCAGUCUUGAGUGCAGUAGAGGUGGGCGGAAUUCGUGGUGUAGCGGUGAAAUGCUUAGAUAUCACGAAGAACUCCGAUGGCGAAGGCAGCUCACUGGACUGUAACUGACACUGAGGCUCGAAAGUGUGGGUAUCAAACAGGAUUAGAUACCCUUGUAGUC
rnacentral:rRNA from 1 species